rnacentral:rRNA from 1 species
UACGUAGGGGGCGAGCGUUGUCCGGAAUUAUUGGGCGUAAAGGGCUCGUAGGCGGUUUGUCGCGUCGGGAGUGAAAACACUGGGCUUAACUCAGUGCUUGCUUUCGAUACGGGCAGACUAGAGGUAUGCAGGGGAGAACGGAAUUCCUGGUGUAGCGGUGAAAUGCGCAGAUAUCAGGAGGAACACCGGUGGCGAAGGCGGUUCUCUGGGCAUUACCUGACGCUGAGGAGCGAAAGUGUGGGGAGCGAACAGG